rnacentral:ribozyme from 1 species
GGAAAAAGGUGGUACCUAAGUUUCUUUUCUUUUCUUCUCUUUUCUUUGCUUUCCUUUCAUUGCUCGUUCUUUCCUUUACUUAGUUUAAGUUUAA